rnacentral:rRNA from 1 species
AGCGAACGCUGGCGGCAGGCCUAACACAUGCCAGUCGAACGAACAUUCCGGGGUUAGUGGCGGACGGGUGAAUAAGACGUGGGAACGUGCCCUUAGGUACGGUAUAACUCAGGGAAAGUUGUGCUAAUACCACAUGUGCCCUUAGGGGGAAAGAUCUAUCGCCUUUUGAGCGGCCCGCGUCUGAUUAGCUAGUUGGUUGAGGUAAUGGCCCAUCAAGGCGUGGUUCUGUAGCUGGUGUGUGCGGAUGAUCAGACACAUUGGAGCUACGACACGGCCCCAACUCCUACGCAACGCAGCAGUAUAGAAUCUUGCGCGAUGGAGGAAGGUCUGACGCAGCCGUGCCGCGGAAAUGAUGAAUGUCUUAGUAUAGUAAUAUUCUUUCACCGGGGACGAUAAUGACGGUACCCGGUGAAGAAGCCCCGGCUAACUACGUG